CACCUAGAGGAUCCUGUUCUUUACCGCCCGUCCACGAUCCAACUAACCACCCCUUGCCAACACAGCCUACAUACCGCCGUCACCGGCUCACCUCUAAUGAAAGAACAACAGUGAGCCCAACAGUCCCCACUACCAAGACAGGUCAAGGUAUACCCCAUGGGGUGGAAGAAAUGGGCUACAUUUUCUAGCAUAGAACAUAACGGAAAAGAGCGUGAAACUCGCCCUUAGAAGGAGGAUUUAGCAGUAAAGUAGGACCACACUCCCCUUCAAGCCUUCUUAAAGACGGCUCUGAGGCACGUACACACCGCCCGUCACAAAAA
rnacentral:rRNA from 1 species